UCCCUGGUGGCUCAGAUGGUAAAGAAUCUGCCUGUAAUGCAGGAGACCUGGGUUCGAUUCCUGGGUUGGGAA
rnacentral:tRNA from 1 species